UUAUACUUAAUAUCUACUGCAAAAAUGAAGUAUAUUUGCAGUACUUAUUAGCAUAAUGUACUGCGCACCAGUAUAUGCUGAUAAUCUACUGUAAAUAUACUGAAAAUGUGCUGCAAAAACUUUCUGUUAGUGACACACAAUUACAUAUGCUGCUUUUGUACUGCCAAUAGGCUGCAUUUCUACUGCUUUAUCUUUAUUAAGAGAGAUACUGGUAUUAAAGGUAUACUACAUUUCUGCUGCCUUAUCAUUAUCAUUCACAUGACUGCCAUAUGGGUGUACUGCAUUAUCUUUAUCAUUUAGAUACAGGCAUCAAAGGUGCUGCAUUUGUACUGCAUUAUCUUUAUCAUUUAAAUACAGGCAUCAAAGGUACUGCAUUUGUACUGCAUUAACUUUAUCACUUAGAUUCUGAAGGUAUACCAUAUUCCGCAAAUAUUACAGCUCAUGUACACUAUAAUCUGAUGGUUUGUGGGAAAUGCAAAAUACAUGUGUAAAAAAACUGUUCCAACACUGAAAAAAUAUACUAAUAGACAUGAUCGAUGUUUCAAUAAUAAUAAAUCUUUAUAAAUCUUUAAGUUCAUAUUAACACGUUAGUAAAAACAUGGUCAGUCAGUAGCUUAUGUACAACCUUCGAGAUCGAAAGAUGCAUUCCGUUAGAAUUUGAACUCCGUCGCGAAAUAAUAUUUAUAAGUGAACGGCAUCACUGUAGCACACAAUUAACCUCAAAGACGUUAUCAAUCUGUUUGGAGAAUAUUUCUAUGACCACUGUCGCGAAUGCAUUAGCUUAGAAGCGAUUGAAACUCCAGCAGUUACACUCUUAUUCGAAGAGUCCGCCAUUGUUUAUAAGGUGUCAAGUCAAUUCGUCGCCAAUACAAAAUGAAUACGAUCUUUAAGAUGGAAAAAACUUAAUUCUUUAAUUUAAAGUAAAAUUUAAAAUGAAGAUACUACUUACAAAAAUAGUGCAUAGUUUAAGAAACAAAGUACGAUAUUAUAUUUAUUUGAGUUCCAAUUAUUUGAUAGUUUUCAAAGACUGCAGGUUCAAAACAUGAAGGGGUUAAAAUUAUACGGACACGACUUGUGUAAGCUGCGUACUAAACAACUCGUACGUUCCUUCAAUUCUUAUGGCUUGAUUCUGAAUAUUUAUUAAUGACAUCGUUAGUACCUUAAAUUCAGUCUAAUUGAAAAGAAUCAAUUCAUUAUGAUCAAUUAAUGUUUUGUAUGUUUUAUAUAUGUUCAUAUCAAACCGAAUCGAAAAGUCCCAAUUUAUCAGAAUAUAUUGUCACCGUGUUGUUUGAUUCUAUAACGUCAUUUCCGCCUAUGACUACGCACUUUUAAACGAAGCAGACGGAUCUUCAGCAUGUGUUAUGGAACAUUAAAAAAUCACAAUGUUGCAGCAGUUGUAGCGAAGAAAGGUAAACUAUUUAUGUUGAUAUCACCUUGAGUGUAUAUGAGAUAAAUGUAGUUACUUUAAUGGAACAAAUGAACAGUUUUUGUCAAACAUUUCAAAAUGGCGAUUUUAAAGUUAGAUUUAUGGCAGUAAAAUUCUUUUAUAUUGUAUAAAGUUACAAAGUUAUAUACUAUAGCUACAAAGAUGGAUGGAUACAUGUGUACAAAAAGAAAAGAAAGUAAACACAAUAAGUAAAAUCAUUCUCUCUUUUUUUCCCUUUAGAACUAAUGACUGCAUGAUCAUGAGGAAGAUGCACUUGAUGCUGAAUAUUGAUUGUUUUAAGGGACUUGCCAGUUCAACAAGUGAAUGCUGAGGGCAGAAUACCUGGCUCAAAAAGCCCUGCGAGACAACCGGAGGUGAAAUAUGCAGAAUGGAUUAAAGAAAAUGACAUUCUAAAAUGCAAUUUUUCAGCGCAGAACUGAGAAGUCUUGCGCUACAAGAGGGGACCUUCACCAAGCAGUGGCGGUGAAAUUGACCAAAGGACCAAAAGCGGGAAAGUUAACUGUGCAGCACAGCAAUGAAAGUUCAUAAAGGCUUGUGUAUAUACUGACUAUUACACAUUAUAAAUUACUGCUUAUACUAUAGAUAGAUUUACUGUAAUAACUGUAGUAACUGAAAUAACCUGAAAGUUUUGUAACGUUUAUACAAAUAUCAUGAGUAUUGCGAAUAUAGAUAUAUUUUCAAAUUAUUUGUAAUUAAGUGUACAUGUAUCUAGAGUAAUUAA